UGGUCGGACUCUCGUAGAGACUGCCGGUGCAAACCGGAGGAAGGUGGGGAUGACGUCAAGUCCUCAUGGCCCUUAUGGGUAGGGCUUCACACGUCAUACAAUGGUCGGUACAGAGGGUUGCCAAGCCGCGAGGUGGAGCCAAUCCCUUAAAGCCGAUCGUAGUCCGGAUCGUAGUCUGCAACUCGACUACGUGAAGUCGGAAUCGCUAGUAAUCGCAGAUCAGCAUGCUGCGGUGAAUACGUUCCCGGGUCUU
rnacentral:rRNA from 1 species